AGUGAACGCUGGCGGUAGGCCUAACACAUGCAAGUCGAACGGCAGCACAGUAAGAGCUUGCUCUUACGGGUGGCGAGUGGCGGACGGGUGAGGAAUACAUCGGAAUCUACUUUUUCGUGGGGGAUAACGUAGGGAAACUUACGCUAAUACCGCAUAUGACCUACGGGUGAAAGCAGGGGAUCUUCGGACCUUGCGCGAUUGAAUGAGCCGAUGUCGGAUUAGCUAGUUGGCGGGGUAAAGGCCCACCAAGGCGACGAUCCGUAGCUGGUCUGAGAGGAUGAUCAGCCACACUGGAACUGAGACACGGCCCAGACUCCUACGGGAGGCAGCAGUGGGGAAUAUUGGACAAUGGGCGCAAGCCUGAUCCAGCCAUACCGCGUGGGUGAAGAAGGCCUUCGGGUUGUAAAGCCCUUUUGUUGGGAAAGAAAAGCAGCAGGUUAAUACCCCGCUGUUCUGACGGUACCCAAAGAAUAAGCACCGGCUAACUUCGUG
rnacentral:rRNA from 1 species